rnacentral:lncRNA from 1 species
AACCAAAAUUUACAAUAAAUUCAUUUUUUUUGCACUAAAAUACAAAAAAUCUUGUGUAUAUACCUGUCUUUUCAUUUUUCCUUACUGACUUUUCAAAAACUUACAUGUUAUUUUUUUUUCAAAAUUUUAAUAAAUUAUUUUUUUUAAAAAUAUAUGUAAGAAUAAUUUGGUGAUUUCAUCAUCUUCAUUAACAUCGUAACAUUUUGAAAAUAUUUUUGAAAAUUUAAGAAGGCAAAAUAUAGAAAGAUGAGUUUUACAUCUG